UACGGGGGGAGCAAGCGUUGUUCGGAAUUACUGGGCGUAAAGGGCGCGUAGGCGGCCGAUCAAGUCAGAUGUGAAAGUCCUGGGCUUAACCUGGGGACUGCAUUUGAUACUGAUUGGCUUGAAUGCAGGAGAGGAUAGCGGAAUUCCCAGUGUAGAGGUGAAAUUCGUAGAUAUUGGGAAGAACACCGGUGGCGAAGGCGGCUAUCUGGACUGUGAUUGACGCUGAGGCGCGAAAGCGUGGGGAGCAAACAGG
rnacentral:rRNA from 1 species